AUCCAACCUGCCCUAUACAAAGGCACAGCCCGGCGAAAGUCGGAUUAAUGCCUUAUGAAGUGAGAAGAAGACAUCUGAUUUUCACUAAAGCUCCGGCGGUAUAGGAUGGGGAUGCGUCCGAUUAGGUAGACGGCGGGGUAACGGCCCACCGUGCCGACGAUCGGUAGGGUUCUGAGAGGAAGGUCCCCCACACUGGAACUGAGACACGGUCCAGACUCCUACGGGAGGCAGCAGUGAGGAAUAUUGGUCAAUGGGCGGUAGCCUGAACCAGCCAAGUAGCGUGAGGGAAGACGGCCCUAUGGGUUGUAAACCUCUUUAGUCCGGGAAUAAAGUGGGCGACGUGUCGCCUAUUGCAUGUACCGGAAGAAUAAGGACCGGCUAAUUCCGUGCCAGCAGCCGCGGUAAUACGGAAGGUCCGGGCGUUAUCCGGAUUUAUUGGGUUUAAAGGGAGCGCAGGCGGUCUGAUAAGCGGGCAGUGAAAGACGGUGGCUCAACCAUCGAGGUGCUGUCCGAACUGUCGGACUUGAGUACGUGAGAGGCAGGCGGAACUCGUGGUGUAGCGGUGAAAUGCAUAGAUAUCACGAAGAACUCCGAUUGCGAAGGCAGCUUGCUGGGGUGUUACCGACGCUCAUGCUCGAAGGCGCGGGUAUCAAACAGGAUUAGAUACCCUGGUAGUCCGCGCAGUAAACGAUGGAUGCCCGCGGUGCGGCCUUUUAUGGCUACGCCGCCAAGCGAAAGCGUUAAGCAUCCCACCUGGGGAGUACGCCGGCAACGGUGAAACUCAAAGGAAUUGACGGGGGCCCGCACAAGCGGAGGAACAUGUGGUUUAAUUCGAUGAUACGCGAGGAACCUUACCCGGGCUUGAAAGGUAGCGGACGGGGGGCAGAGACGCCUCUCUCGUUC
rnacentral:rRNA from 1 species